UACGGGGGGGGGUAAGCGUUGUUCGGAAUUACUGGGCGUAAAGGGCUCGUAGGCGGCCCAACUAAGUCAGACGUGAAAUCCCUCAGCUUAACUGGGGAACUGCGUCUGAUACUGGAUGGCUUGGAUCCGGGAGAGGGAUGCGGAAUUCCAGGUGUAGCGGUGAAAUGCGUAGAUAUCUGGAGGAACACCGGUGGCGAAGGCGGCAUCCUGGACCGGUAUUGACGCUGAGGAGCGAAAGCCAGGGGAGCAAAGCGGGG
rnacentral:rRNA from 1 species